UGGGGAAUUUUGGACAAUGGGCGAAAGCCUGAUCCAGCAAUGCCGCGUGUGUGAAGAAGGCCUUCGGGUUGUAAAGCACUUUUGUCCGGAAAGAAAUCCUUGGCUCUAAUACAGUCGGGGGAUGACGGUACCGGAAGAAUAAGCACCGGCUAACUACGUGCCAGCAGCCGCGGUAAUACGUAGGGUGCAAGCGUUAAUCGGAAUUACUGGGCGUAAAGCGUGCGCAGGCGGUUUGCUAAGACCGAUGUGAAAUCCCCGGGCUCAACCUGGGAACUGCAUUGGUGACUGGCAGGCUAGAGUAUGGCAGAGGGGGGUAGAAUUCCACGUGUAGCAGUGAAAUGCGUAGAGAUGUGGAGGAAUACCGAUGGCGAAGGCAGCCCCCUGGCCAAUACUGACGCUCAUGCACGAAAGCGUGGGGAGCAAACAGGAUUAGAUACCCUGGUAGUCCACGCCCUAAACGAUGUCAACUAGUUGUUGGGGAUUCAUUUCCUUAGUAACGUAGCUAACGCGUGAAGUUGACCGCCUGGGGAGUACGGUCGCAAGAUUAAAACUCAAAGGAAUUGACGGGGUCAUAGCUGUUUCCU
rnacentral:rRNA from 1 species